CAGUUGCAACUAGUGUUCAAGCUGGCGCUGUGCUAAUGCCUCUCGCCAUGAUUUGCUUUCGCUCAAAAGUAUAGAAGAGAAAGUAUAGAAGAGGAAAAAGUGUAUAAAAUAAUCUGUCUAAAACUGACUUGCAAUUGUAUAAUUAUUGUUGUGUUUUGUGGCUGCUUAUACCAGGACCUCAAGGAUCUAGGAAGCAACAAAGAAGAAGAUUUUGUUUUCAAUUAAUUAUAAGCGGAAGUGCAUAAUUAUUUCAUAAAGUUAGCUUAUCUAUAUAAAGUCACUGAGAAGAAAAGACUUAUUACAUGCAUCUAUUGUUGUAUUAUGUGGCUUUAAUACCAGGACCUCAAGAAAGAAGAAAAUUGGAUCUGUAGUUCAUGCAGUGUAUAAUUAUAAUAUUUAAGAAGAAAAGACUUGUGUACAUACAUAUUGUUAUCUAUAGUAGUGUUUUGUGGCUUACCAGGCCCUCAAGAAAAAUAUAAUUCUGCCAGGAGGAUCUGGAUCUGGGGAAUGAGCGCGCAUGCGCAUUACAUCCAUAGGAAUAAUUAAAGGGUGUGUCCAAAGAGAUCAAUUUCACAAAUGGCUACUGCUAGCUAGCUGUUUUAAUAGGUAUUUUCUGAGUCUUGUAGCUAACAAAAAGCUAGCGCUUUAAUGCAAGGCUAACUCAUAUGUUGAAUAUAAAGUUUGUGCGGACAGAUGAUGCUAUGAAAGAUUCUGAAGAGACUGCAACAGCCUUCAAUGUGAGUCAAACUAGCCAUAACUCGAGAAAGAAGCUUUAGUUUGCUAAUCCACAAAUCAAAAUCCAAGAGAACGUGGCUAGAAGCCUAUAGAAGCUGUUAGUUUUCGUCGCAUUGCAACCGUUGAGCAGUUACAGCUGGAACAGACACACAGACACACAGACACACAGACACACACACAGUCAGCUUUACCGUAUCCCUCGUGCCGCUACGCCUCGAGGCAUAAAAACUCCUCAAAUCCCUGUAUCUAUGCAUAGAUAGUAGAGGAGAGGGAUUGGAAACGCAUGUGUGGGACUCAGUACAAUUUCGGCCCAUCCGUGUCUCGCCUACGCCGACGCAAUGCUGUAGCGGUAACUGAAGCAAGGCAUCUUUUUAGAAAGACAGAGAAGUGCCUUGGCCUCAGGAAUAUUGCACAGGGCUAUGCCAGUUAGUACUAUGCUCUUAGUACCUAGUAUAGUUGUAACCUUAACCUAGAAGUGUCUACUAAAGGAGUUUCAUGAGUUUUUUUAAGCUUUCCUUGACUGGUUGAGGAUUGUGGGAUUUUUUUAUCUCUCCAAAAAGAAGUACAGCCUGUUUGAGAUUGAAGACAAGUACAGUGUUAUACGAAUGGAUCGGCAAGUUUUUUGGGGAAGAGUUAUGAGAGAAUAAACGACGGAAGUGUCAGUUGUGGAAGACCCAAGGUAACUGUUAUCUCAAACUGAUACUGUUUUUAAUCUCAGAUUGUGUGCAUCUGAUGAUGCUUCUUCAGAGUUUACAUCGGCAGACUGUAGCACCUUCACUGAACCACUACCAAAGAGGACAUUCAAGAAAAUUGCAUCAUUAUUUCUGUCUUUACAUCACGAGUAGACAUACAAUAAUUAUGUUAAAUUGUUUGUAUAAUGAAUUGUUUAUGAUCUAGAUCUAUAAAAGAGAAGUUAACAUGUUCUUGAACUUCUAUUAAUUAACACUGUGUCUGAUCCCACUGUAAACAAUGGCGAAAACUCCUCUAAUACUAACUUCUGAAACACGAAUGGAAGCUAGUAGCCUAACUUGAUCCUAGUAGCCUUCCUGCCUGUCUCAUGUCUCUUUCUGGCUAGUCAGUAGUAGCCUUCCUGCCUGUCUUUUGGCUGUUAAAGACUAAAAUUAUCAUAGGACAAAGGUCAAUUUCUAGUGACGGAGGUAGGAAAGGAAGAAAUUUGACCGUGACACGCAUGGGCCGGGCAUUUACGUAUGCGUUUCCAAUCCCUCUCCUCUACUAUCUAUGAUCUAUGAUUGGACUAUGAUUGCCGAUUUCCAGAGGAGGUGCGAAGCACUUAACCUUUGCUCAUUAGGUCUCUAAUUGCCUUUGUGUUAAUUGCAUGUAGUCUUGUGGACCAGCCAAUAUAUUAUCGUCUGGCAAAUUACACAUGAGCUACUUGUGCAGCGGUCUAAGUGGCUGUUUGCAUUGAUAAGUGGUUAGUGGGUGGAGGACGGAUGUGUGAAACCACAUAAUUAGAUUUGCCAAAUCUAUUUUAGCUACCAGUGCAGCUGUGCGGUUUCACAACUUACUACAAACACUUAUCAGCCACUUAGAGCGCCACGAUAUUUGUGGCGCGGUCAACACAACUCUGUACGGUGAAAUUGGCCAGACCCUCUUUCAGGGUCUGGGUCCGCGAGACAAAAUUGCAUGUCAGUCUCAUGAAUUAGCCGCCCUUCCUAAGUGAGAGACCUAGGAAGGGCGGCUGAUUCGUGAGACUAACCAACAAGCUGAAAGACAUCAUGCAAGACAGCCUGGAGCAAAGAGCUUGCCAUCAAUAGAAUCAUGUCAGGGAACACUCCAAAACAACCAGCUAUAAGAAGCCAUCAUCUAUGAUUAAAAGAAGUGAUAUCCAGGACCAUGCAUGUACCACAGCAGAAGAGCCUGAGGCCUCCUUUUACAAUGUAUAUACGUAUAAAGUGGACCGUACAUGCAUGCUACAUGCAACAAAGGCCAGCUAUUGAGAAGCCUGGCCAAAAUCUCAUCCGCCCUGUGUUUGACUGUGGGAGGGAGCAGCUCAAUACUUGACUGAAAGUGGUCGUCGUUCUCUGUUUUACGUUUUAAUAAUCCAUUCUCGUUCACACAGUUAAUGUGCAUGUGACGCUCAUUCAACUACAAAAUGAUCUUGUUGUUGCCAAACCAGUUCAAGAUACGACAAGAAAUGAAGAUUUUGAUGAGCUCGAGCAUUCUUCCUCAUUAGUAUUCACACCUGAGUUUGCCAAUGUGGUCAAUGUCGAUGGAUUGAGAAUUAAAGACGGCAAGGUGUUUGUUAUUUGGAAGUGGCAGGUGCUACAUCCACAAGACAAGACGGUAAUAAUAGUGAGGGGAAAUUGCUGUUUGUUUUCGGCCAACGGAACCCCGGACUAUUCAGACACAGGGUCUGAAACAGUCAUCCAGAAGUACUCUGAAAAGCAAGUGUACUUAUUGACGAAGGUGUCCCUGUACCUAUAUAUAGAAGUACAUGUUGAACCUGACAAUCCUGUGACUCCAAAUGCAAUUGCGUUGUAGACAGUUCCUUUGGAUACGUAGUGAAGGAAGCACGGGAUGCUGUGCACAAUGCCCUCAUAAGGAAUGACAUUACUGUUGUAACAUUCAAGUGGGUCAAAUAUGUUAGUGACUUUGUAAAAAUGCCCAAAAACACAUUUUUACAAUUUGAAAAA